CUCCCCUCCUUCCCUAGGGUUUGUGGAUAAAUAAUGGUGCUCAUGCUUUUUGUGGUAGAUCUUAAGCUUAAUGGAGAGGGAUUUUGUUGAUUUGCCUUGUUCAAUUGUUUGCAUGCAGGUUUGGUGACUACAUCAUCAGUGUUUUUACAAAUAUAAGCUCUGGGAGGAGUUUAAAAUAUAAGCUCUAGGAGGAGUUCAAGUUUGUGGGAUGCAGGUUCCUCAGUGGUUAAUACCUGGCUUCGCCUCUCCUUUCUUGGUUAAUACUCAAGGCCUUAGUUGUCGUUUUGAGCAGUGCCUCAUCACCUUCCAUGGGUUGCUUGUUUGGCCUGUAGUGCUUUUGGCUUCCAUGGUCUUUGCUCUUUUUGUUUUCGAUGGCUUAGUGUUAGUUGUGCUAAGGGUUUGUCAUCUUGGUUUUUGGGGGUUAUCAGCUUCGUUUACAUGUUAGCCGAUCUCCUUAAGAGUUAAUGAUGGCUUCCUGUGGCAGCGGAGGGACUUCUGCACCAGUGGAGUUGUAUCAUGUGCUAUGUAAGAUUUGGCCUGGUAUUUGGUUUGGGUCUAGCACCUAGUUAGCUUAGGAUUAUGUUUUGUGGGCUUUGGCCUUUUUACUUUUGAGCUUAUUUAGCAGGUUCUCUAGUUAGGCUUUUUUUGUAAGUGGGCUAUGAGCCUUGUAUGAACUGUUUAUCAAUAGAAAUAAGCCUUUAAU
rnacentral:misc_RNA from 1 species